rnacentral:rRNA from 1 species
GACGAAGGAUGCAAGCGUUAUCCGGAUUCAUUGGGUUUAAAGGGUGCGUAGGCGGCCCGGUAAGUCAGUGGUGAAAUCUCCUUGCUUAACAAGGAAACUGCCAUUGAUACUGCUGGGCUUGAGUACAGAUGCUGUGGGCGGAAUAUGACAUGUAGUGGUGAAAUACAUAGAAAUGUCAUAGAACACCGAUUGCGAAGGCAGCUCACAAAACUGUAACUGACGCUGAGGCACGAAAGUGCGGGGAUCAAACAGG